rnacentral:rRNA from 1 species
UACGUAGGGACCGAGCGUUGUCCGGAUUCAUUGGGCGUAAAGAGCUCGUAGGCGGCCACUCAAGUCGAAUGUGAAACCUCGAGGCUCAACCUCGAGCCUGCAUUCGAUACUGGGCGGCUAGAGUCUGGUAGGGGGAUCGUGGAAUUCCUGGUGCAGCGGUGGAAUGCGCAGAUAUCAGGAGGAACACCGGUGGCGAAGGCGGGAUCCUGGGCCAGUACUGACGCUGAGGAGCGAAAGCGUGGGGAG